rnacentral:tRNA from 1 species
GGGGUUGUAGCUCAGUGGUAGAUCACUUACCUUGCAUGUGUGAGGCACUGGGUUUGAAUCUCAGCACCACA